UUACAUAAAAAUCCACUACAAUUACUGGGACAAGUACAACAUACAAUACACUCAUUCUUUCGUAUGUCAAAUGCACAGUAAUACAUUGAUAUCGGACCGAGACAUGUCUUAAAGUCUCUUGAUCUUACCUUGUAAAAUUACAAAAAUAUCCAGAACAUUUCAAUUCCACGACAUAAGGUCCCACGCCUACUUGACCUGUAGAUACUAGACGAAGAUAAAGGUAUUUGUGCUACUUGUCCAGCACAAUGAUUGUCAAUCGAGUCAGUUGACUGACUAUCAGGGUUUCCAGCAGGGCAUCAAUCACGUAACAGCGACUGGCAAACUUUCAAAUACAUUUCUCCAUGCAAUGAUUACUGUACAGAAAGUGAAAGUUGAUCAUGAGGACACCCAGGUCUGUUUAGACUAGAAGGAAGGACCACCUAGCAGGAAAUAAAGCAGUGCUGGACAAUGAAGCAACACUAAUCUGGUAUAAUAUCUGGCUAUGUUUCUUCCUGCAACCUACAGAGUGGGCCUCCAGGAGAGACUUUAUACAACAAGUGUAUUAAUGGCUGAUUAAAGGAACAGCAUCUGAGCUGUUUCGUUGUAAGAUUUACGAAGGGGGAAAGACAAUGGGUAGGCCACCAGCCAUUAGUCAGUCAGCUUGCAUACAUAUAUCUGGUACAAUUAUAUCCUGCUAAUACCCAACUCAUCUUCUUUUAAGCACAUAAUAGAUACAUAAAACUGGUACAUAAAUCAUUUUAAGAAGAAUCUUUGUAAGACAAGAAAUCAAAAUGUAAGAACAGAAUGCAAAUGAAACACAUGACUGUAGCAUGAAAAAGGAGAACUUCCACACAAACAAAAUCAAACUGGUGU